rnacentral:rRNA from 3 species
GUGGGUAGUUUGACUGGGGCGGUCUCCUCCUAAAGAGUAACGGAGGAGCACGAAGGUUGGCUAAUCCUGGUCGGACAUCAGGAGGUUAGUGCAAUGGCAUAAGCCAGCUUGACUGCGAGCGUGACGGCGCGAGCAGGUGCGAAAGCAGGUCAUAGUGAUCCGGUGGUUCUGAAUGGAAGGGCCAUCGCUCAACGGAUAAAAGGUACUCCGGGGAUAACAGGCUGAUACCGCCCAAGAGUUCAUAUCGACGGCGGUGUUUGGCACCUCGAUGUCGGCUCAUCACAUCCUGGGGCUGAAGUAGGUCCCAAGGGUAUGGCUGUUCGCCAUUUAAAGUGGUACGCGAGCUGGGUUUAGAACGUCGUGAGACAGUUCGGUCCCUAUCUGCCGUGGGCGCUGGAGAACUGAGGGGGGCUGCUCCUAGUACGAGAGGACCGGAGUGGACGCAUCACUGGUGUUCGGGUUGUCAUGCCAAUGGCACUGCCCGGUAGCUAAAUGCGGAAGAGAUAAGUGCUGAAAGCAUCUAAGCACGAAACUUGCCCCGAGAUGAGUUCUCCCUGAGACUUUAGGUCUCCUGAAGGAACGUUGAAGACGACGACGUUGAUAGGCCGGGUGUGUAAGCGCAGCGAUGCGUUGAGCUAACCGGUACUAAUGAACCGUGA